CUGCCAAGGGCAGUGCUGGGUAGCUAUGUCGGGAGCGGAUAAGCACUGAAAGCAUCUAAGUGCGAAACCGACCCAAAGAUGAGACUUCCCACUACACAAGUAGGUAAGACUCCAGAAAGACGAUCUGGUCGAUCGGCCCGGCAUGUACGCACCGCGAGGUGUUCAGUGGACGGGUACGAAUCAGUCGAGGUCUUGACCUA
rnacentral:rRNA from 1 species